UACAGAGGUGCCAAGCGUUGUUCGGAUUUAUUGGGCGUAAAGGGUGCGUAGGCGGUUGUGCAAGUCAGAUGUGAAAUACCGGAGCCUAACUCCGGAACUGCAUUUGAAACUGCACAGCUCGAGGUCUGGAGAGGUGAUUGGAAUUCUAGGUGUAGCAGUGAAAUGCGUAGAUAUCUAGAGGAACACCAGAGGCGAAAGCGAAUCACUGGACAGAACCUGACGCUGAGGCACGAAAGCUAGGGGAGCAAACGGG
rnacentral:rRNA from 1 species